rnacentral:misc_RNA from 1 species
UUUUUUUUUUUAUUUAUAUUCUCAUAAAAUAUUUAUUGCUUUUAAUAGUCACUUCGGAUAAUUAUCAUCAGAGGUAACUCAACUUUAUGAUAGUUUUUACUAAAGUUACUGAACUUUAAUUUCGUUCAAAAAAAUUACUUGACUUCAAUUUCGCAUAAAACAAACUAAUUGUUCUUACCUCCAUUCACAUCUCUGUCCAGGUGAUGAUAUGACAAAUUCAUGUGUAUAAACUAGUGAAUGUAUACACACUCUCUUUUUUGCAUACUCUUUCCUACAUGCACAAGUCACAUCUCUCUCCCUUUAUUCUAUUUAAAUCAUUUUACUUGUCUGAAUAUGGCACUUCUCUUGUCUGUUUGAAGGAAAAUAGGAAAGCUUUUAGAUUUGAGCUUGUAAAAAGAAACGAUGGAGCGAGGUGAGUAUGCAAUAGGUUUUUCUAGAUGUAUUUGCAAUAUUGAAGCCAAUCUGCGCACUGCUUGGACUGGCAGUAAUCCUGGGAGGCGUUUGCAUGGUUGCAGAAAUUAUGGGGUAAGUAAUUCAGAAAAUGUUGUAAGGUUUUUCUUUUCUUUAAUUUGUCAAGAUUUUUAGGGUAAAUGUGGGAGUUAAGUUUUUGCAGACAUCAAAUUAUUGUGGGUAUUUUCAGUGGUAUGAUGAUCCUUUCCUGUUAAGAGCAACACAAGUGAUUUCUGGGUUACUGAGGAGGAUUGAUCGACAUGAUCUUGAUCUUCAAGCGGCCCGAGGGAAAGAGAGAAAGUGGAUGUACAUUGCACUGUGUUUGGCACUUUAUAUUGUGGUGGAGAAAGUGUUUAUUAGAUAAGCUUAUGAAGACUAAGGGCUAAGUAAAAUUUCAAUUGACAUGAUAAAAAAAUGCAUAUUGAUUUAGUGGUUGUGUGAUGG